UACAAGCUAAGGUCUGAUGUUUAUAUAUAUGUUAGGGAGAGAUUAGGAAAGAAAAGAGUGGAAGGAAUGCAUGGUGUCAGGAGUGAUCAGGAACUUGCUCAAGUACAUGGAGUUUAACUAUUACGGUAAUGACGUGGUUCUUCGUUUUAGCUUUAUGGAAUUGAUGUAGGGGUUUCUUGGGAAACUUAUCACUAUUGGGGUAUUUGUCUUGUUUAAGCUUUGUGAAAUAUGUGUUAUACUUGAUCUAUCUCUACAAUUGAUAUAAUUGUGUAUUUUGGAAUAUGGUAUUCAUAUUACUAAUAUUGAUAAUGUUGAUUAUAUGCAUAUGUCAUUGCAUAUUGGAGCGGAUGGACUUUAUUGGAAUAUUUGAGUGGUUAUGGAAAUGGAAUUAUAUUUUGUGUGGUUGAGUUCGAGUCUCGUAGGGACCAGCAAGGGUGGCAAAAGUGAAAUUAUAGGAAUGGUACGAAGUAGUGAAGACUCUAGCGACCGAGAAGAGAACAAGAUGACAAACAAAAUGGGAAAUUUGGGAUGAUUGAGUUAUGGGGGUUAGUUUAAAUAAUAGAGCAUUCAGACCACCGCUGAAGUGGUAAAAUGCAUGGUAUGAGACAUGUAGGUUCGCGUGUUUUAUUAUAAAUUAACGGGCUUAGUAAUUGAAGUUAGGAUGCAUUCAUGGAAUAUAAUAUGUGUUUGAUAACAUGUUAAAAUUGAUUACAUGUUGCAUGAACCUUGGUUUAGCCUUGACAAUUAUCCUUGAUAAGAGUUAUGUUCCUACUAAGCUGUGGUUUUGCUCACACUAUUUUAGACCUUGCAGACUUGGUACAAGAUUAACAUAGGGUAGAAGAGCUGAGGUUGUGUUAGACGAGGGAUUUUAAGAGUUUUUAUUAUUUUUGUAAAGGCUUUUGAAGCUAUUUGUAUAAGAGAAGUUAGUUUUUUGUUUUUUUUUUUAUAUAUUUUUUUUACUCUCAUGCUGAGCGUAGAGUCGUAUUUUCCUACCGACCCCGAGUCCGGGGCAUGACAAAACUUCACAACUAAAGGAGUGUUGAGAGUUCCGCACAUUGAAGAUGGAAGUCUUGAAGUGCUUAAAAAAUCGUUACUUACUCUACCGACAAGUUAGAAACUCCAGAUUAUUGCUGCGCUUCACGACUCUUCUGUCAGUCGCUGGGCAUAUAUUAUCGAAGAUUCAAAGUCGUUAAUUGCCAUAGUCAUUAGAGUUUCUUCUAUCCAUGUUCGUCAUCAAGCUAAUGUCAUUAGAGUUUCUUUUAUCCAUGUUCGUUGUCAAGCUAAUGGCAUUGCUCAUUGCCUAGCGCGUUUUGCUUUUCUUUCGGGAAUCAAUUGUACUUGGAAUGAAAAUCCUCUGGAUCUAAUCCCAUACUUGUUA